GCUGUCCUGCUGUACAUGAAGCUUGUUGGAGCGGCACAGAAGAAGAAUGAAAAAAUGCUGGGGUCCCCACGUAACAUACCAGGAGGGGGUCCAGUGAGUCCAUAUUUUAGAGGCACCCAGCCUGCGUGUUCAUCCUAGCCUCUGCCACGUUGGCUGUGUGACCUGGGACAAGUUGCAAAAAGAAUACAAAGAAUUCCCUGUAUUCCCUUUGUAAUGUGUUUUUAAAAGAUGAAAUAAUUAAGAAAUGUGCCCUGAAUAUCAGAUGUCAGACCUUCUACCACCAAGACUCUAUACAUAUCCAGGAAUGGAAUUGCUGGGUCAUAUGGUAGUUCUAUUUUUAGUUUUUUGAGAAAUCUCCAUACUGUUUUCCACAGUGGCUGCACCAGCUUACAUUCCCACCAACAGUGUAUGAAGGUUCCCUUUUCUCUCACGAUCCUGUUUUUUUCGUGUGUUGCUCCACGGACCACAGAUUAAUAUAGUGAAUUAGUCUGUGAGCGCUGGUGUCACGGCCUGCAUUGGAAUGUCAGUCCUACCACUUAUUAUCUGUGAUCCUGAGCCUCAGUUUCCCAGUCUGGGAAAUGGUACCAACCUCAUAGGAUUAAUGGAACAAGAUUCGAAGGGUGUGCGUGGAGUGAGCGUGCCUUGGCGUGAAGGCUGCGUGCAGUCCUUGCUUUCCAAUCCCGGCCGGUUUUCUGCUCUCGUGAAGCCGCCUUUCUUGGCAGAAAGAGGGGUCAGUAGCCCUUAGUGGACGACUGAGUGGACGAGGGUUGGCUCCCGCUUCUGCCCAGGUUUAAUGGCUCUUCCAGCGACAUCUGCAUUUAUGAGGGGGGAAAGAAAAAGGAUCCCUAACAGAUGGAGAAAGAGGCCCUCUGGGUAGAGAAAGGUGCCCUCAUCACUCUUCACAGCAGCCCUGGAGGAAGGUGGCACUGGCUCUGUCCCCCAGGCCACUGGCCCAGAUGCUUGUCCUUGUUCCUCUACCUUGGACUCCUUUACCUCCCAGCUGAGUUGGAUAUCCUGUCAGCCCAGGUUCAUUCUCUGCUACCUGCCCCCCCAGACAUUGUCAGGUUUGAAGGAGACUCCAGGAACUGCUGCAGCCAUCUGCCAGUCUAACAAGUAGACCAACUCAAAGCAGAGAGCAGAGGCCAAGGAAUUUCAGAAAAGCAGAACCAGGAUAUGUUGUGGAUGGACCCUAAUCUACCCCUGAACUUCUUGUUACGUGAGGUACCCAAGGAGAGCGUCCUUUGUGCCAGGUACUGUGCCAGCCGUCCUUGAAGGUUAACUCAUCCCAUGUGCUAAUGACACCCAACUCUCUGAAGUCCAGACCCCUCUCCCUUCAGAGUCACACUUGGACAGUCACAAGCUCUUUGCUUGUCCUUUGCGGGAACAACUCCUCCCAACGCUUUAUGUGUUAGGAGUGGGGCUGUUUCACCUCUGGUUUCAGUCUUGUAAUUUCUGCUAGACUUCUUGGAAAGAAAACUCUCUUACUGCUAAUAGUGCUUGAUGUAAGUUUGGAGAAGCAGAAAGAGUCACUGAAAAUGAAGACAUCACAGAGGAUGGUCAGCUGGAGUGAUGGAGAGAGAGACCUUAUACUGAUGUCACCACCUAAACUGCCAGAAGCUGCCCUGAAGCUACACUAUCCCUGGUCCUCAGUUAUGUGAGGACUGAUGAACUUUAAUCAAAGACCAGCUCCAUUCUCUAGCUUGUGUUCAGGAAUCAUGAGCCAGUGACCCUUGCCCACCUCUGAUUGUGUGGGCUUGGAGAUAACAUAUGUGAGAGUGCUUUCCUGUUUUCUACAAAUGGGAGGUAAUUGUAUGGUAGAUAUAAAGUUAAUUGGAGGGACUUCCCUGGUGGCGCAGUGGUUAAGAAUCCACCUGCCAAUGCAGGGGACACAGGUUCGAGCCCUGGUCCGGGAAGAUCCCACAUGCCGUGGAGCAACUAAGCCUGUGCGCCACAACUACUGAGCCUGUGCUCUAGAGCCUGUGACCCACAACUACUGAAGCCUGCGCACCUACAGCCCAUGCUCUGCAACAAGAGAAGCGACCACAAUGAGAAGCCUGUGCAUUGCAACGAAGAGUAGCCCCUGCUCGCCACACCUAGAGAAAGCCCGUGCACAGCAAUG